UGAAGCUGAGGGCUUAUGAGCUUCUCCCUGACAGCUCCUUCUCCAACUGUGCUGAAGAUGUGCACACACCAAAAUGCACAUGUGCUUACAGCCGAGGAGGGAGGGCUAACUACACUGCCAAAUACUCUUUUAGAUGGAAAGAAAGCUGCAAGCUUGAGAAUUGCAAGAAAACCAGACAUUAUCAGCAUCAAAUCAUCUGCAGAGCACUCUAACUAAAAGGAGAACAUUAUGGGUGACCACUGUCUUGUUGCUGAUGAAACUGCCCUCACAUUUCUGAUGUCAGGAAAAUGAAGUAACAGAGAAAAAGAGACACUGUACUGACAACUGAGACACACUACCCUGUUUCUUCUGUGCCUGAUGUCAGAUGCAAGCAGUGAAAAAUGAAAGGCAGCGGUAUGGACUGGGAAAAACAAUGUAUUUUGUGGAGUGACCACCCCAGGUAAAGUUGUGUAUCAUAUGUCAAAAAUCCAGGAGACCUCACAGAUCUUCGUGGAGGCAGCUUCGCUUCUUACACGCCCAAGGAACCUGUGCUGCUCCAAGCCAUGGCUGUAGCCUCUGCAUCACCAGCAGUGCUCAGAAGAAUCAGACUUUUAAAUUAAUACAAAUAUUUACAAUUAAAUAAAGUACUCUCUCAAAGAAACUCUUAAUUGCUGGGCUGACAUGGUACUUACUUCUCCUAUCACAUGCUUGCACACUGGUAGCUCUCUUACCACUGCCUGUGGUGUGUCCUGUUACUGCUCUGUGAUGGGAAACCAUGAGCUGUUGUAUCCUCACACUGCCAAAUGAGCUGCGCCUUUGGAGUAACCCCUCAGAAGAAGGAAGGCUGUGCCAGUCAGUAGCAUGAUGACACCACUGGAGGCGAAGUCUUUUUGCUCCAUUUAAAAAGACCCAGUGACA